AGCCAGGCUCCUCCCCAGCCUGGAUGCCAUCACUAUGGAAACUGAAGCCUUGGAAUACAGAAAAACUGGGCCCGUCUGUUGAAGAAAUUUUACUAUGCUUUUAUUGUCUGGCAGGGGCCAGCACUGAGUGAAAUAGCCACGGUCCUUGCAACCCCCCAGUUAAGGGCUCUGUUUUGCAAUGACCCACACUGCAUGGACUUACGGUAGCUCCUGUCCCGACAUCUCACCAAUAUCCCCAGGCCUGUAUCUGCAUGGGCUUCCUUUGGACUCCCAGGUCAGCCACUGGCUCUCACCUACAAAGUCCACACAUACAGACAAGAGACCUGAGGACCUGGAGGAAGCCACCUUCUCAUGAGUGUCCAAUCUGGAGAGGACUUUGAAAGUUUGGGGGAGGCCCUCCCCUCUAGCUCUCUAUCUCACCCCCAAGGCUCUCACCCACCCUCUAUACCGGGCCUGACUCUCCUACGGCCUUCCACUCUGCAUUCUUCCUCAGAGGUUUGUCUUGAUCCCAAGGCCCAGGCAAGUUUGAGGAUCGAGGCUCCACCAAGAAAAAUGUCUGCAAAGCUGGGAAAGCAUCCAAGAGGCAGCUGACGUCAGAAAGCACGGGUUCAAAUUGUAGCUUUUGCUUCUCUCGCUGUGGCCUGAAGUGAUGGAACUCCCACCAGCUGCACAUGUGAUGGGCGUCAUCGGAGCAUGUUUGUUUCCAGCUCCUGAUGAGAAGAUGACCCCACUAUGCCUUCUCUUAUUUCUGACAUUUCUGCUUCUGCUCCUUGGGUCCCAGGCUGAAGUCCACACCUUCUGGGUGUGAUUUGUCCCUGACAAUUUCCUCACGUUGCAUAAACACGCUUUGGAAGAAGUCCACA